rnacentral:rRNA from 1 species
UACAGAGGUCCCAAGCGUUGUUCGGAUUCACUGGGCGUAAAGGGUGCGUAGGUGGUUAGGUAAGUCCGAUGUGAAAUCUCCAGGCUCAACCUGGAAAUGGCAUUGGAUACUAUCUAGCUUGAGGAGUGGAGGGGGGACUGGAAUUCUCGGUGUAGCAGUGAAAUGCGUAGAUAUCGAGAGGAACACCAGUGGCGAAGGCGAGUCCCGGGACACUUCCUGACACUGAGGCACGAAAGCUAGGGGAGCAAACAGG